rnacentral:rRNA from 1 species
AGACGUCUACAUUACGAUACCCGGUACGUCCCAGCCGUAAACUAUGCGCGUUAGGUGUAGUCGGUGACCACGAGUUACCGAGGUGCCGAAGGGAAACCGUGAAACGUGCCGCCUGGGAAGUACGGUCGCAAGGCUGAAACUUAAAGGAAUUGCGGGGAGCACCACAACGGGUGGAGCCUGCGGUUUAAUUGGACUCAACGCCGGGAAGCUCACCGGAUAAGACAGCGGAAUGAUUGCCGGGCUGAAGACUCUGCAUGACUAGCUG